rnacentral:rRNA from 1 species
AUUGAACGCUGGCGGCAGGCCUAACACAUGCAAGUCGAACGAGUGGCGGACGGGUGAGUAAUGUCUGGGAAACUGCCCGAUGGAGGGGGAUAACUACUGGAAACGGUAGCUAAUACCGCAUACCAUCGGAUGUGCCCAGAUGGGAUUAGCUUUGAGGUGAGGGAACGGCUCACCUAGGCGACGAUCCCUAGCUGGUCUGAGAGGAUGACCAGCCACGCUGGAACUGGUGCACGGUCCAUACUCCGACGGGAGGCAGCAGUGGUGAAUAGUGUACAAUGGGCGCAAGCCUGAUGCAUCCAUGCCGCGUGUAUGAAGAAGGCCUUCGGGUUGUAAAGUACUUUCAGCGGGGAGGCGUUACCCGCAGAAGAAGCACCGGCUAACUCCGUGCCAGCAGCCGCGGUAAUAC